rnacentral:rRNA from 1 species
AAAAACAUCGCCUCUGGAAUAGGAUCAAGAGGUUCUGCCUGCCCGGUGACUUAAUUGUUAAACGGCUGCAGUACUCUGACUGUGCAAAGGUAGCAUAAUCAUUAGCCUAUUAAUUGUAGGCUUGUAUCAACGGCUAGACGAUGGAGAAGCUGUCUUUCUUUAUUAGAUCUGAAAUUAAUAUUAAGGUGAAGAGGCCUUAAUAAAAUAGUGGGACGAGAAGACCCUAUUGAGCUUUAGCCUAAAUUAAUAAAGUUUUUAUUAAACAGGUUUGGAUUGGGGCAAUUGUUUCUAUAAAAAGACAGAAACGUAUAAAUAAUUAGUGAUUCAAAUCUUUAUAAAGAUCCAAAAUAAUUUUGAUCCUUGGAACAAGUUACCCUAGGGAUAACAGCGUAAUUUCUCUUGAGAGUACACAUUGACAGAGAAGUUUGCGACCUCGAUGUUGGAUCAAGAAUUCCUGAAUGUGCAGCAGCCUUCAAGGGUUGGUUUGUUCAACCAUAAAAAUCUUACGUGAUCUGAGUUCAGACCGGA